rnacentral:rRNA from 1 species
AUUGAACGCUGGCGGCAGGCUUAACACAUGCAAGUCGAACGAGUGGCGGACGGGUGAGUAAUGCUUGGGAAUCUAGCUUAUGGAGGGGGAUAACUACGGGAAACUGUCGCUAAUACCGCGUACAAUAGGAUGAGCCCAAGUGGGAUUAGGUAGUUGGGGAGGUAAAGGCUCACCAAGCCGACGAUCGCUAGCUGGUCUGAGAGGAUGACCGGCCAAUCUGGGACUGAGACACGGCCCGAACUCCUACGGGAGGCAGCAGUGGGGAAUAUUGCACAAUGGGCGCAAGCCUGAUGCAGCCAGGCCGCGUGUAUGAAGAAGGCCUUAGGGUUGUAAAGUACUUUCAUCGGGGAGGCGUUACCCGCAGAGGAAGCCCCGGCUAACUCCGUGCCAGCAGCCGCGGUAAUAC